UCUCUUCCUUGCUCCUGUCUCUCCUCACGCCAUCUCUUCUCUCUGUCCCUAGGCUGCACGACAGCAGCAGGGAGCAGGCGUCUCUCCCAUGGCCGUUGGCCUCCCCUAGCACGCGAUGCCCCCUUGCUUCAUCUCCCCCACACCUCCAUGGCAUUUCUCUGGUAUGGGACGUCGAUUGGGAGCAACCCUGAGGCCCCCACUGCAGCUUCUCCGCUCCCCGGCUCCCUGACCAAGGGACCUCAAGCUCCAGCAAGCCAUGGAUGGCGCUCUUCCUCAGCUCGGGCUUGGCCUCCGCUAGGCCGCUGUCUGUUCAUCUGCGUCGGGCUCUAGGACGCCACCUCUCUCACUGCUCGGCUCGCCAUGCAUAUCGGCCACGGCGUGGUCAAGCCCAAUCGAUGAGCCUGCUGUGCAUGCGUCCAGCACAAGGUAGAAGAAGACUGCUCCCUCUAUGACAUGUGGGUCCCAAGCACAUUUGCAUCUUGUACACAAAAUUCCAGAUUUUCGUGUUGUAUUCAAAAAUUCAUAUCUUGUGUUUUAGAGCUCCUAAAAUCGUGAAAUUUAUUUUGUUGUAUUCCUUAUGAAAUUCUCUAACUAUUGGAUCUAUAUGUUGGUAUGUUUUAGUGGAAAAGUUUUUAUGUAGAAAUUCGUAUUUAAAAACUGGUUUAGAGAAUAAACAAACUUGCUUCUCUCCAUAAUUUAUUUAUAAAAAUCCAAAAAUGAUGAAACCUGUUUUUUUAGUUAGAUAUUGUCAUACUCCAUUAAGGAAAAAUAUAAAACUUAUAUGUUGUUCACUUUUUUCUUGGUGUGCAAAUUAAAUCAUGUUAAAUAGAAAAAAGAAGAUUUAUUUGCUUAUUAUUUUUGGAUCUGUAGCUCCAGUGCUCCAAAUGAGUUGAAAUUUUUAUAAUAGACUCUUGGUGUGAUGCUUGGUGACUGGUAAAAAGUUCAUGAAUUGUUGUGCAUGUAUGAUUACGUUAGUGAUUUAACUUGUUUAAUGCACCUUAAGUAGUUUUAAAUGAUUUAAAAAUAAUGUAUAGAUGCAAAAAUGUAAAAUGGAGUUCCACUGUCCUUGUAUGACAUUAUAGUAGGCUAAGAAAACUUAAUAUGGUCAUGCAUCCACAGAAAAUAAUUAAUUUUAGAAUUAACUUGCUCUCACAAGCUUUAUUGCAUUAACAAAUUGUUAUUUUUGUAUUAAAUAAAAUAUAAAACCUGGGCAUGUGAAAUUUAUACAUUGGUCAUGAUUUGUUAUUACCUAUGCCUCAUAAAAAUUCCAGCCCCAAAUUAGAUAGUUUCAUAUGGUACUAAAAUAACACAUGUUUUAUAAUUAUAAGAAGAAUUAGAGACAAAUUAGAAGUAAACAAAAGCAUCCAUGUUUCUUGAAAUGAUUAAGUGUCUUGACAUAAAUUGAAACUUGAUAACUAAGUCAUAAUGAUUUAAACUUGAGAAAUUGGUGGUAGUACCUCUCAAUGAUUUUGCUUGGUAAUUUAGUUAAGUGCUCUCGUGCUUGCAAACUGAGAUUCCUGCGUGUACAGUUUUAGUUGUGCGAUUAAUCUAGUUAAGUAAAGUAUGUUUUCUGUAGAUAUAUGCUAUAUAAAAGUUGUAGUUAACUUGUGUAUCUAGCUCGUCCUAAAAAUGCAUGAGCUGAGAAUUGAUGGUUUAGAAGCUAUACUUUUCACAAGUCCAACACCUGAAUCUGUCGAAAUUCUGAACAAAUUUCAGAGAUUGCAAUGGUUGACUAAGUUAAUGUUGAAAUCAGUUAUUGAUGGUCACAAGAAAGUUGUAGAUAACAUUAUUAUCUUACUUUUGUUAAAAUUUGACAGUCAUAAGUCUGAUCGUUUAGAAGUUAUGCUUUUCGCAAGUUUAGUAACUGAAUCUGUCCAAUUCCUGUACAAAUUUCAGAGGUCGCAUUGUUUGCUUAAGUUCAGUUUAGAAUCAGUCCUUGUCAAUUAUAAAAAAAGUUGUAGAUGCUUUUCUUAUCUUGCUUGUGUUAAAAUUUCAUAACCAUAGACCUGACAGAUUAGGAGUUAUGAAUUUUACAAACUGGUUGUUGUAUUAUGUCCACUGACAGAACAGAUUUCGAAAACUGAAUUGUUUGAUUUAGUUCAGCAUUGAAUCACUUCUUGGUGAUUAUAAAAGUAUGUAGUGCUUUUGCCAAGCUUUCCAAAAAGUCUUGGAUCACUCCUUUUGAUGAUCUGAAGAUUAAGUUAUGAAUGUUUAAAGUCUGAAGACUGAAUCUGUCCAAUUCUGGACAGCAAAGCCUUCUAGUGUCUUUUAUCCUUAGUUAAAUAUUGAAUCAUCUUGAGAUGUUUAUAAAUUAUAUGUAGACAAUUUUAUUACCUUUCCAGAAAGUCUAGGAUCAAUUUGUUUGGAUGUCUGAACAUGUGGUUAUGGAUUAUUAAAGUAGCAAGUCUGAAUCUGUCCAAAUCUGGACAGAGCUGUUGUGUUUACGCAAUUCGGCCUUGCUAAGAGUCUAAUCAUGCUGAGGUAAAAAUAUCAAAGUUGUAGAACACUUUUUAAACUUUCCAGAAAAUCCUAGUUUGAUAAUUUUGAAAUAAUAUUUGAAGAGUUAUGAUUAAAACAAAAACUACUGUGUUGCUGUCCUAAAUAUGUUAGAAGUGAUUGAUUGCUCUACUCUAUUGUGUUUGACUUGAGUGAUUGCUUGCUUGUUUUGGUUUUAAGUGAAUAUGAGUAACAAUGAUAGUAACUAAUAUAAUUGGGGUUAUACAUAAGUAAGUAGUACACGUCUUACUAAGUUAGUGAACUAAAUUGGUUAAGGUCUAAUAAGUAGCUUAGCUUAAUCAACAGUUAGCGAGUGCAGUUAUAUAUUAGGGAAACAAAAUGAAUAAUGUCCUGUCUGUGGCUUUUUGCUAAUACUACUAAGUAACCAACGUCAUUAAAAUAGUACAAAUUAUAAUUAUGAAUAAACUAUCUCCUCAUGUGUGUUCUCUGGGGUGUAUGUUUGCAGUAGAAGGUUGUGAAUGAUUGUAAAACCCGAUUAAGCAACUAUUCCUUUUUAACUAAGUCUGUCUAUGUGUAAGUCAUCGUAAAUUUAUGUGUACUUAACUAGUUUAAUAAUAAGUAACUAAUGAAUGAUAAAAGUGAACGUGGCGAAUGUUUGUACUUAUGAUGUCGUGUUUGCAAUAGAUAAUUAUAGGAAGUGUUUGUUGUUUUCCAGUGAUGAUUGACUACGUAUGCCCGCUGACGUAUAGAUAACUAGCGCUUGUGUACAGUUGUCGCGGUGUCUUACAAUUUAAUGUUUAGUUUGCUACCAUCCAUUUUGGGAUUAUCUUGUGAUAUAUUUCAUCAUAUUCAUACAUAUGCAUCCUGCAUCUCAUUUAGGACCGAGAGAUGACGAUCGUGCAAGUGAUAUGGUGCCAACAACAAGAUGCAGUUGGUGGACGACCUGAAGAGUGAUGAACUUAACCAGUAGAUGCUCGCCAAGCGGGUGUCAUCCAGCAAACACUAUCUAAGUGUUAAAUUAAAG
rnacentral:lncRNA from 1 species